rnacentral:rRNA from 1 species
CAGGUGCUGCAUGGCUGUCGUCAGCUCGUGUUGUGAAAUGUUGGGUUAAGUCCCGCAACGAGCGCAACCCUUAUCCUUUGUUGCCAGCGGUUAGGCCGGGAACUCAAAGGAGACUGCCAGUGAUAAACUGGAGGAAGGUGGGGAUGACGUCAAGUCAUCAUGGCCCUUACGACCAGGGCUACACACGUGCUACAAUGGCAUAUACAAAGAGAAGCGACCUCGCGAGAGCAAGCGGACCUCAUAAAGUAUGUCGUAGUCCGGAUUGGAGUCUGCAACUCGACUCCAUGAAGUCGGAAUCGCUAGUAAUCGUAGAUCAGAAUGCUACGGUGAAUACGUUCCCGGGCCUUGUACACACCGCCCGUCACACCAUGGGAGUGGGUUGCAAAAGAAGUAGGUAGCUUAACCUUCGGGAGGGCGCUUACCACUUUGUGAUUCAUGACUGGGGUGAAGUCGUAACAAGGUAACCGUAGGGGAACCUGCGGUUGGAUCACCUCCUUA